AUUGAACGCUGGCGGCAGGCUUAACACAUGCAAGUCGAGCGGAGCGAGGGUGCUUGCACCUUAGCUUAGCGGCGGACGGGUGAGUAAUGCUUAGGAAUCUGCCUAUUAGUGGGGGACAACAUUCCGAAAGGGAUGCUAAUACCGCAUACGCCCUACGGGGGAAAGCAGGGGAUCGCUUGUGACCUUGCGCUAAUAGAUGAGCCUAAGUCGGAUUAGCUAGUUGGUGGGGUAAAGGCCUACCAAGGCGACGAUCUGUAGCGGGUCUGAGAGGAUGAUCCGCCACACUGGGACUGAGACACGGCCCAGACUCCUACGGGAGGCAGCAGUGGGGAAUAUUGGACAAUGGGGGGAACCCUGAUCCAGCCAUGCCGCGUGUGUGAAGAAGGCCUUUUGGUUGUAAAGCACUUUAAGCGAGGAGGAGGUGCUCUAGGAUAGUGGACGUUACUCGCAGAAUAAGCACCGGGUAACUCUGUGCCAGCAGCCGCUGUAAAAC
rnacentral:rRNA from 1 species